rnacentral:lncRNA from 1 species
GGGGGGGGGACACCCGAAGGUGCCAGCCCGUGGGGUGCCCGCAGGCGACAACGCUGUCCCUGGAGACGGAGCUGCAGCGGGUGCGGGAGCUGGGGGGGCAGCAGCGCAAGCGGGCGGCCGAGGUGCUCAACGGGCUGAUGAAGGACCUGAGCGAGUUCAGCCUCAUCGUGGGCAACGGCGAGAUCAAGCUGCAAGAUCAAGUCGGAGGUGAAGUCGGUGGUGAAGCGGUGCCGGCAGCUGGAGAACCUGCAGGUGGAAUGUCACCGCAAGAUGGAGGUCACCGGGCGCGAGCUCUCCUCCUGCCAGCUCCUCAUCUCCCAGCACGAGGCGAAGAUCCGGUCGCUGACGGAGUACAUGCAGACGGUGGAGCUGAAGAAGAGGAACCUGGAGGAGUCCUACGAUGCCCUCAGCGAG